rnacentral:lncRNA from 1 species
UGAAGAGAAGAGCGCUUUUGGUUCUGGCGUCUUUGAUUGGAAUUAAGAGACGCUUUUUUGUCGUGCCAGUGCAUUUCCUCUGUUCACUUUCUCUUUUUCCCAUCUGUAAUCUAACGCUGUGUUUUUUAUUCAUUAUUCAUUUAAAUAAAAUUUAAUGUGCUUCUAUUUUUGGAUUUAAUUUAACCUUCUUUUUUUAACAUCCUUUAAUAAAAAGACAUUUCAUUUUAAUUACAAAAAAUGUUAUGUUAAUAUUUUGUAAGUCUUUUUUUUUUUUUUUGGUAGAUAAGGUCUGCCCUGCUUACGAAAUUGGAUUAUGCUUCAAUUGAUAAGUUCCCAUUAGAUGUUGGUAUGAAACUAAUUUACACCCAUCAUGUAUCCCA